rnacentral:rRNA from 1 species
UCAUGGCUCAGAUUGAACGCUGGCGGCAUGCUUUACACAUGCAAGUACGACGGUAACAGGCCUUCGGGCGCUGACGAGUGGCGAACGGGUGAGUAAUAUAUCGGAACGUGCCCAGUAGUGGGGGGAUAGCCCGGCGAAAGCCGGAUUAAUACCGCAUACGACCUGAGGGUGAAAGCGGGGGAUCGCAAGACCUCGCGCUAUUGGAGCGGCCGAUAUCAGAUUAGCUAGUUGGUGGGGUAAAGGCCUACCAAGGCUACGAUCUGUAGUUGGUCUGAGAGGACGACCAGCCACACUGGGACUGAGACACGGCCCAGACUCCUACGGGAGGCAGCAGUGGGGAAUUUUGGACAAUGGGCGCAAGCCUGAUCCAGCAAUGCCGCGUGCAGGAAGAAGGCCUUCGGGUUGUAAACUGCUUUUGUCAGGGAAGAAAUCUUCUGGGCUAAUACCCCGGGAGGAUGACGGUACCUGAAGAAUAAGCACCGGCUAACUACGUG